rnacentral:rRNA from 1 species
AAAUUAGCGGAUGACUUGUGGCUGGGGGUGAAAGGCCAAUCAAACCGGGAGAUAGCUGGUUCUCCCCGAAAGCUAUUUAGGUAGCGCCUCGUGAAUUCAUCUCCGGGGGUAGAGCACUGUUUCGGCAAGGGGGUCAUCCCGACUUACCAACCCGAUGCAAACUGCGAAUACCGGAGAAUGUUAUCACGGGAGACACACGGCGGGUGCUAACGUCCGUCGUGAAGAGGGAAACAACCCAGACCGCCAGCUAAGGUCCCAAAGUCAUGGUUAAGUGGGAAACGAUGUGGGAAGGCCCAGACAGCCAGGAUGUUGGCUUAGAAGCAGCCAUCAUUUAAAGAAAGCGUAAUAGCUCACUGGUCGAGUCGGCCUGCGCGGAAGAUGUAACGGGGCUAAACCAUGCACCGAAGCUGCGGCAGCGACGCUGAUGCGUUGUUGGGUAGGGGAGCGUUCUGUAAGCCUGUGAAGGUGUGCUGUGAGGCAUGCUGGAGGUAUCAGAAGUGCGAAUGCUGACAUAAGUAACGAUAAAGCGGGUGAAAAGCCCGCUCGCCGGAAGACCAAGGGUUCCUGUCCAACGUUAAUCGGGGCAGGGUGAGUCGACCCCUAAGGCGAGGCCGAAAGGCGUAGUCGAUGGGAAACAGGUUAAUAUUCCUGUACUUGGUGUUACUGCGAAGGGGGGACGGAGAAGGCUAUGUUGGCCGGGCGACGGUUGUCCCGGUUUAAGCGUGUAGGCUGGUUUUCCAGGCAAAUCCGGAAAACUAAGGCUGAGGCGUGAUGACGAGGCACUACGGUGCUGAAGCAACAAAUGCCCUGCUUCCAGGAAAAGCCUCUAAGCAUCAGGUAACAUCAAAUCGUACCCCAAACCGACACAGGUGGUCAGGUAGAGAAUACCAAGGCGCUUGAGAGAACUCGGGUGAAGGAACUAGGCAAAAUGGUGCCGUAACUUCGGGAGAAGGCACGCUGAUAUGUAGGUGAAGUCCCUCGCGGAUGGAGCUGAAAUCAGUCGAAGAUACCAGCUGGCUGCAACUGUUUAUUAAAAACACAGCACUGUGCAAACACGAAAGUGGACGUAUACGGUGUGACGCCUGCCCGGUGCCGGAAGGUUAAUUGAUGGGGUCAGCGCAAGCGAAGCUCUUGAUCGAAGCCCCGGUAAACGGCGGCCGUAACUAUAACGGUCCUAAGGUAGCGAAAUUCCUUGUCGGGUAAGUUCCGACCUGCACGAAUGGCGUAAUGAUGGCCAGGCUGUCUCCACCCGAGACUCAGUGAAAUUGAACUCGCUGUGAAGAUGCAGUGUACCCGCGGCAAGACGGAAAGACCCCGUGAACCUUUACUAUAGCUUGACACUGAACAUUGAGCCUUGAUGUGUAGGAUAGGUGGGAGGCUUUGAAGUGUGGACGCCAGUCUGCAUGGAGCCGACCUUGAAAUACCACCCUUUAAUGUUUGAUGUUCUAACGUUGACCCGUAAUCCGGGUUGCGGACAGUGUCUGGUGGGUAGUUUGACUGGGGCGGUCUCCUCCUAAAGAGUAACGGAGGAGCACGAAGGUUGGCUAAUCCUGGUCGGACAUCAGGAGGUUAGUGCAAUGGCAUAAGCCAGCUUGACUGCGAGCGUGACGGCGCGAGCAGGUGCGAAAGCAGGUCAUAGUGAUCCGGUGGUUCUGAAUGGAAGGGCCAUCGCUCAACGGAUAAAAGGUACUCCGGGGAUAACAGGCUGAUACCGCCCAAGAGUUCAUAUCGACGGCGGUGUUUGGCACCUCGAUGUCGGCUCAUCACAUCCUGGGGCUGAAGUAGGUCCCAAGGGUAUGGCUGUUCGCCAUUUAAAGUGGUACGCGAGCUGGGUUUAGAACGUCGUGAGACAGUUCGGUCCCUAUCUGCCGUGGGCGCUGGAGAACUGAGGGGGGCUGCUCCUAGUACGAGAGGACCGGAGUGGACGCAUCACUGGUGUUCGGGUUGUCAUGCCAAUGGCACUGCCCGGUAGCUAAAUGCGGAAGAGAUAAGUGCUGAAAGCAUCUAAGCACGAAACUUGCCCCGAGAUGAGUUCUCCCUGACUCCUUGAGAGUCCUGAAGGAACGUUGAAG